rnacentral:lncRNA from 1 species
AUGAUCAAUGUUUGUGUCGAAAAAAGUAUGAAAGUUUAAAGUUGGACAAAAUGUUAGACCCAAAUAAAGUUCAAGUACUUCAGUACUUAAGAACAGUGUUUCUCACCUGUGUGUCUCACACAUGGCCUCAGGCCUCCAGAUGAAGCGGCCAUCUUUGUAGGAGCAGACAGAGUUUGGGUCGUCAGUCAGCAGAGGACGAUCUGACAACUGCUCCUGAUUGGCUGGGCUGUGGACCAGUAUAACAUACAUCACUUCCUGUUUGUACUGGACGGUCUCGUACACCCGCAUGAUGGGCUGAGUGCCGGAGCAACACUGUAACAAUAAAAGAAAUGUAUCACAAAUUCAUUCAUCAAGGUUCCUGUUAAUGUCCCGACAACAACGACAGACAACAUCGACUCUCCUUCUUUCUCUUUAAAGAAGCACUACGUAGUUUUAGAAAAGAAACUGAGAGUUCUGAUAUUUACAAUGUGAAUGAGGUAACAAUACAAACUUUUGUCCAUAAGUGAAUCAACAAGCUGUUCUCAUUUCUUCAACUAAACUACGGACUGCUCCUUUCAGUAAUCUGCUACCUGCUGGCUGUAGGCCUCCAGCACCUCCUCCAGGGGGAAGGUGAAGCGGUACGAGCCCAGCCUGGAGAGCUUGGAGAAGGCCGGGGAGGUGGCAAACUUCCCCAGGAAGCUCUGCUGCACCUGGACCUGCUCCUCCGUCCGGUCGGGGUAGGUCGUCUCCAGGAGCCUCGUCUCAGCUGAUGUGAUGUCAUCAGGCGCCACAGCCAGACUCCACCACACCAGAGAGUCUCCAUGUGGGUUCUUGAAGCCGUUAUCCCUCCAGAUGCCACAUAAUCCAUCUCUGUCUGUGUCGUGUUUCAGAUGAGACAGAUGAAACUCUGGUCGCGGACAUGCA